GUUCAACUUUAAAACACUCAAUAAACUCCCAAUCACAUUAAGAGAGAUUAGGGUUUCCUCUUUCCCCGAUCUCUCUCUUUGAUCGUCAACCCCUUAAACGUCGUCAACCAAAUAUCUCAUAUCGAAUCAAAGCAAAAGACUUUCACAUCCAUGGGAACUCCAGAGACUUCGCGCGAACCCUGCCCAGAUCGUAUCCUUGACGAUGUUGGUGGAGCCUUCGGGAUGGGAGCUGUAGGCGGUUCCGCCUUCAACUUUCUCAAGGGCGUCUCCAACACCCCCAAGGGUGAGAAGUUUUUUGGUGGCGUCCAGGCCGUUCGUAUGAAUGCACCGCGUGUCGGCGGAAGUUUCGCCGUUUGGGGUGGCCUUUUCUCUACCUUUGAUUGCAGUAUGGUCUACCUGCGGCAGAAGGAAGACCCUUGGAACUCCAUCAUUGCAGGGGCUGCCACCGGUGGCUUCUUACAGCUGCGCCAAGGUCUCGGCGCCUCUGCCCGAUCAGCUGUUUUUGGAGGCGUCCUUUUGGCGCUCAUCGAAGGAGCCGGCAUCAUGCUCAACAAGGUCCUCAGCGCGCAGCAGAACAUGCCUAUCAUGAUCGAAGAGCCUGGCGGCGGCAUGCCUGGAGCGUCCGGGAUCCCUAUGGGGCUCCCUGACAGGGCGGCGGUCCAGCCCAUGCCGGAGGUUGCCUCAACAAGCGGAUCUUCUUCUGAUUCGAGUUCAAGUUCAUGGUUUGGAGGGUGGUUUGGUGGCGGGAAGAAGCAAGAGACUGUGCCCAGUGGGGGAAGCAAGACGGAGAUUCUCGAAAGCUUCGACGCUCCUCCAGUGCCGAAUUUUGAGUAUAAGUGAAACUGAGGUUUUAUAAGCAGCUCAUAUCUUUUAACGUUAAGUUAAUUAUGAGUGAGAUAUGACUUUCAUCAAAUACUUAAGUGAGUUUAUGCAGGAUGUUUUGAUUGCACAACGUGUUCAAACUCUUUGAAGUCAUCUGCGGAGAAUUUUUGUCAAGAUCUAUUUUCUGUAGAUUCACUUAUCAACAAUUGUCUACUGAUGAUUUAUGUUCAACGGGAAUCAGUCAUUUGCUCUUCCAUGAAGAGCACGAGGCAAAUGUUAGAUUGCGAUACCAGUCAAAUUAUGUGGGAAAUUUUUUGGAGAAGAGUUUGGCAAGAUCUGUAAUUUGAAAUAUGAGCGUACCUACUAACCAUGUUAAAUAUAUUACUGAAGGGGUGGUCAAUUAAUCCUCUUAUAUGGACGGGUUCAAGCUGGGUUGUGUUUUUAUAUUUCAUAUCAGAUGUU